AGUUGCCCGCCUGCCCCGGAGAGCCAGGCGCUAACCAGCCGCUCUGCGCCCCGCGCCCUGCUUGCCCCCAUUAUCCAGCCUUGCCCCGGCGCCCUGACCUGACGCCCUGGCCUGACGCCCUGCUUCGUCGCCUCCUUUCUCUCCCAGGUGCUGGACCAGGGACUGAGCGUCCCCCGGAGAGGGUCCGGUGUGACCCCGACAAGAAGCAGAAAUGGGGAAGAAACUGGAUCUUUCCAAGCUCACUGAUGAAGAGGCCCAGCAUGUCUUGGAAGUUGUUCAACGAGAUUUUGACCUCCGAAGGAAAGAAGAGGAACGGCUAGAUAGAGACAGGGUUUCACCACAUUGGCCGAGCUAGUCUCAAACUCCUGACCUCAAGUGAUCUGCCUGCCUCAGCCUCCCAAAGUGCUGGAAUUACAGGCAUGAGCCACUGCGCCCGGCCAGUUGGUAGUUUCUUAAAGGGCGUUGAAGGGCAAGAUUAAGAAGGAAAGCUCCAAGAGGGAGCUGCUUUCCGACACUGCCCAUCUGAACGAGACCCACUGCGCCCGCUGCCUGCAGCCCUACCAGCUGCUUGUGAAUAGCAAAAGGCAGUGCCUGGA
rnacentral:lncRNA from 10 species